rnacentral:rRNA from 1 species
AUUGAACGCUGUCGGCCGGCCUAACACAUGCAAGUCGAGCGAGCGGCGGACGGGUGAGUAAUGUCUGGGAAACUGCCUGAUGGAGGGGGAUAACUACUGGAUACGGUAGCUAAUACCGCAUACAAUUCGAUGUGUCCAGAUGGGUUUAGCCAGUCGGUGGGGUAACGGCUCACCUAGGCGACGAUCCCUAGCUGGUCUGAGAGGAUGACCAGCCAGACUGGAACGGAGACAAGGUCCAGACUCCUACGGGAGGCAGCGGUGGGGAAUAUUGCACAAUGGGCGAAAGCCUGAUGCAGCCAUGCCGAGUGUGUGAAGAAGGCCUUAGGGUUGUAAAGCACUUUCAGCGGGGAGGCGUUACCCGCAGAAGAAGCACCGGCUAACUCCGUGCCAGCAGCCGCGGUAAUAC